UAUGAGCACACCCUUUUCAACUAACGGUGACUUUGAAAGAAUGGGGAAGCGGAAGAUGUGCCAUCUCUUUUUCUUAUGUGGAAACAUUUAAAUAAGAAAAGAUCAAAGGCAUCUACGAUGAAGAUGGAGGUAACAGGUGGUGUUCUUUAACAAUGCUCGUCACAACUGCUUUCAACCAACGUGACCUUGCUAAGAUGUCUAUCAUUUAUUCACUCCAAGCAUUUGAAAAAACAAAAUCCUCUAAUCUCUCCAAAUCUACACCUUCCUAAAAUUAGCCUUUGCCUUGAGGAAAGGUUUUAAAAGCAUGUUUCAAGCUUUCCUCACAAAGUUUAAAAGACAAGAACAGUUUGUUGGUUCCUCCAGGGGGAGCCAUUCUCGGGAAAAAGAGAAAGUCAAGAGAUGAAUAACCAGUUUUAAGAAAGACUGUUUGUCAUUCCAAAUAAAAGACAAGUGCAUUGUUCUAACAGAUGGAUUGUUCAUCAAUCUUGAGAGACAACAGGCUUAACCCAUUUAAAAACAUAGACCAACUCAAUUUUUUAAGAAAAACGUGUCAAAUUUAGAUUUAGAUAUAUAAAUAAAAAUGUAGAUUAUAUGGCACAAGAAACACAAAGCAAUAUAUACCACUUGUGAUGGAGAUGUUGCAAAAUUCAA